GGGCGGCGGGCGGAAGGCAUCACUUUGUCCGGACUCUAAUUCAAAUUGUAUUCAUCCGAUCUUCACCAAACUUGGUCAGCAGUUGCAUCUAGUUGAUAUCUAGGCCAAGUUCGAAUAUGGGUCAUGCCGGGUCAAAAACUAGGUCAUAGGGUCAAUAAGUGCAUUUUCAACGGCGCCACUUUGUCCGGACUCUAAUUCAAAUUGUAUUCAUCCGAAACUUUUAAACAACUUUUUAUCCUGCGUCAAAGUGGUAUGGGGGUAUAAGUCACAUUCAGUGACAAAGCUCUAGUUCAAGUUGAAUUCACCAAACUUGGUCAGAGGUAGUAUAUAGAUUAUAUAUCAGUCAGGUCUGAUUGGAGACAUGCAACCGAUUAACACAUGCAAUAUUUUUAUGCAAUAUUUUUAUCCAGUUUUAUUUUGCGAUAUUUUCAUCGGGUUUAUUUUUUUCGCGAUUUUUGAAACGAGUUAUUUUUAACAACAUGUUUAUUGGUAAGUUUCAUU